ACACGUCCGUUACAGAGAUCUUCGAUGCUGAACGUCUUCUAUAAAUAUCUAUUUGGCAAACCUCGAGUAGCUUGAGUAGCACCUCCGGAAAUACUUGUCGUUAGACUCAAUCACCUUAUUAGCGCGAAGCCUUACACGUGGAAUAUCUAAAGGACUGACGCUAAAAGUAAUCUGCGAAUUGGGAAUCCUUCGUUCAAAGCAACGUCUAAUAGAAUCAUAUUAGUCAACGCCAGAGUGAUCAAGACAGAUAUAACAUCGCAGAUGUAUCAACUGCUUGAAUUGCAGGACUCGGAAUAUCGUCUUCUACAUCCACCGUGUCCGAGCUACCCAAGCCACCAAUAGAUGGUCUACUAUGUAAACUACUGGAAGGAGGUACAAGACUUGGCAUUUCACCUAUGGACUGCAUUCGUUUAGCUUUUACAACUUCCUCCUGCAAAAAUAACACUGUCAGUAACAUAUUACAGGAUAAUUGAAUCAUACAGAAAACUUACAGCUGGCUUAGCAGAAGUAGGAGCAUCGCCAACUUUACUCUUAUCCUAUAAAAUAUGUUAGUAGUGUUAUUAGUAAACUUGAAAAUAAAUUUGAAUUAUUAAUUGUUAGAGAAGAGAAAAAGAGAAGAAAAGGGAAACAGUAGCACCAUUUUUAAUCUUACUUCAAUUUCAUCCGGAGCCUCCAAACAAUCCGUAAGAACCAACAAUUGAUUUUCUCUUUUCUCCACUUCGCUCUGAUAUUUGAUAGGAUUCGCUAAAGCUUCGGCAAGCUCGCUCAAACCAUCAGGCACGUAAUCCUUUACGAUAACGUGUAAAAACACACUCGCUAAUGGUAGCGGUUGCCCACACUCGUUUCUUAGUGCAACGUGUCUGUAUCCUGGGCAUAAUCCAACUACAGGUAAUACCCUGUGACCGAUGAAACGUCCAGAAUCUUCAUAUGCGGCAAUCCUUAUCGAAGCAAGUUCCGGUAAAACUACCUGAGAAAUGCAAAAGCAAUACAUUAUUAUAGAAGCUGUGUAACAAGACAAUGUAUAAAUAAUAUAAUUUUACCUUUUUAAAUACGAAUGGUUCCUCAUCAUAUAUGGGAUUAAUACCGUUAUUCGGCACGAUUUUUGUGCGGAAUUUCUUUCUUACGGUAUCAGCUGGUAAACCAUACAUAUCCACUUCUACAUAAGUGCCUACUCUUUUGUCGGUUAAAAAUUGCGCGGAUAUUACGUGAAUGUGAACGGUGCCCGCAAUAAUACCAUCAACGGUAGAUUCAGCAAAAGGAUCUAAUCGUCGAUCUUUCCUUCUCAUAAAUUCCGGUUUCAAUAGAUAACCACAACGUUGAUUGUAUUCAAAUAUCCCCAAAUUUAAUUGCAUCGCUAGAUCUGUUAUCAAUCAAAUUAAUCAAAUUCAUUAACGAUAAAAGUAAAAUGAUAACGUCGAAUAAUACACUAAAUAAAAUUUUACGUACCGAGUGUUUGAUAAUUUAAUGCAACUAGCUGACAUCCCGCGUUCCAAAAUACUUGCGGCAUGAAAUUGCUAGAAUCGAAUCGUGUUCCUGCUGGAUAAACUCUGGAUAACUGAUGUUUGUUGUAAUUUACAAAUUCUAGUGGUCUCUCCUUCAAAAGAGUCGUAGCUUGUUUCUCGUCGAAAGAUGACAUUUCGUACGUACGAUUUUUUUCUGUACAAGUGAUAUAAAAAUUUAUCGUCUUCGCAAUAUACGAAGAGAAUGCAUAAAAAUUCUUCUCGUUAAAAUACAUCACGUACUUUCAGCCGACUCGAAACUGUUGAAGUGUACAGGCUGCACAUAAUUAACUAGAGCAGAAAUUUCUGCACCCGCCUCCGUCUCUUUGGCCGCGGAUGCUUUAUCUGCCGCAGAUCCUUUGUCACCCAUUCUCAGUUCCACGUUAGACUCAUCUUCGUCUGUACUCGAUUCGUCUUCCUCAUCUAAAAAAAAUUAAUGCAUUAAAAAUAUAAGUAUCUCUUAUAAAUAUAUUAUUUAUAGUUUCUUUUUUUUAUUACCAACCUUCAUCAUCCUGAGCACUAUCUUUACUACCCUGUCUUUGUUGCAACAUAGGAGGAUGAGGAAUAUCGCCAUUCCCAAUUUGUUGUUCAUUUCCAGAUGCGCUAUCAUCAGCCAUUUCAUUUUGAGGUAUUAUAUCCGGUGGUGGGCCGUUUUCUCCUGCAGAUGGAUUCACCGUCCCGUUUGUUUCAUUCUCUGGGUUAUCUUCAGCAGUGUCUAAUGCUUGCGGUUGCUUUUUGUGAUGCUUUUUAUGAUGAUGAUGAUGUUUUUUCUUAUUUUUUAUUAUUAUUUUGCGCUUCAAUAACGAUGGAGGUGGAAGCUCUUGACCUGGCUCUAACUAAAAACAAAAAAGAAUUAAUCGUUACAAUAAAUCAUAAAAAAAUUUUCUUUUGCUUAUAAUUAUCCUAUUAUUCUUAUAAUUAUCCUAUUCUAUUAAGUCUCCAUUAAACAUAAUAUCUAAAAAUACCUUGUGCGAUUCGAGUGGCGCCUCAAGUAACAUUUCCCCGAAAAGUUCUCUGCAGUACUGUGCGAUUUUGGCUUGUUGCCUUGGAUUACAAUGAUUUUCGAAACUGAGAAUGACCGGAUAGUCAGAAGUUUUAAAAGCACUCUCAGCAAUUGCUUCUAUCACAUCUCGAGCACAUAUUUCAGGUUCGUCAACUUUUCCAUUCCAAAAAUCUAAUUCGACGCAUCGACAACCGGCUAAAAGACACUGACGAUAAAUUUCCACAGAACUCUUUCCAGUGAGUUGAUGCCCUAGACAGAGAAAAUUAUAUCUGCUACAAU